ACGAACGCUGGCGGCGUGCUUAACACAUGCAAGUCGAACGGAAAGGCCUGCAGCUUGCUGCGGGUACUCGAGUGGCGAACGGGUGAGUAACACGUGGGUGAUCUGCCUUGCACUUCGGGAUAAGCUUGGGAAACUGGGUCUAAUACCGGAUAGGACAGCUGUUUAGUGUCAGUUGUGGAAAGUUUUUUCGGUGCAAGGUGAGCUCGCGGCCUAUCAGCUUGUUGGUGGGGUAAUGGCCUACCAAGGCGUCGACGGGUAGCCGGCCUGAGAGGGUGUACGGCCACAUUGGGACUGAGAUACGGCCCAGACUCCUACGGGAGGCAGCAGUGGGGAAUAUUGCACAAUGGGCGGAAGCCUGAUGCAGCGACGCCGCGUGGGGGAUGAAGGCCUUCGGGUUGUAAACUCCUUUCGACAGGGACGAAGCUUUUGUGACGGUACCUGUAUAAGAAGCACCGGCUAACUACGUG
rnacentral:rRNA from 1 species